rnacentral:misc_RNA from 1 species
GAGUAUGCUGUGACACAACUGAAGGAAUAUGAUGGGAAGAAACUAGUGUCUGCAACCAAAGAAGGCCUGCAGCUUGAAGAAUCAGAGGAGGAGAAGCAGAAGAAGGAAGAGAAGAAAAAGUCUUUUGAGAACUUGUGCAAGACGAUUAAGGAAAUCCUAGGAGACAAGGUGGAGACAGUGGUGGUGUCGGAUAGAAUUGUGGACUCUCCUUGCUGCUUGGUUACCGGUGAAUAUGGAUGGACUGCUAAUAUGGAAAGGAUCAUGAAAGCUCAGGCUUUAAGAGAUAACAGUAUGAGCGCUUACAUGUCUGGCAAGAAAAUCAUGGAAAUCAACCCAGACAAUCCCAUAAUGGAGGAGCUUAGGAAGAGAGCUGAGGCUGAUAAGAACGACAAAUCAGUGAAGGACCUGGUGCUGUUGCUUUUUGAGACUGCCCUUCUAACUUCAGGUUUCAGUCUUGAUGAUCCCAACACAUUUGCAGCAAGGAUUCACAGGAUGCUGAAGUUGGGUCUGGGAAUUGAUGAGGAUGAGGCUGGCGUAGAAGACGUAGAUAUGCCAGCGCUGGAGGAAGAAACAAAUGAGGAGAGCAAGAUGAAGUAGACUAAAAGAGGUACCCAAGUGUAUAACAGGCAUGCACUAGAUCAGUAUCAGUGAGAGAAAUAACGCCCCUAGCGUGGAAGUGGCCAAGUCCUUCAUGAAUCUAUGGUCUAAAAUCUCACUUCGUUUCCCAUGUAUCAUCCUUCUUUGUUGUUGAGGCUUGCGAGUGGCUUUAUUCCACCUCCUUUGUACAGUGCUUGCAUAAAUAUAAUAAAGUUGCGUAUCCUUCCAAGUAAAUCUACCGUUGUCAAUGUUUUUUAAUU